UCUUUUGGGUAUAAUCCAAGAAGGAGAAUAGCUGGGUCAAAUGGUGGUUCCAUUCCCAGCUUUCCAAGGAAUCUCCAUACUGCUUUCCAAAUUGGCUGCACCAAUUUGCAGUCCCACCAGCAAUGUAUGAGUGUACCUUACCCCCCCCCCCCCAUCCUCGCCAGCACUUAUUGUUGUUUGACUUCAUAAUGGCUGCCUUUCUGACUGGAGUGAGAUGGUAUCUUAGGGUGGUUUUGAUUUGCAUUUCUCUGAUUGCUAGAGAUGGUGAGCAUUUUUUCAUGUAUUUGUUAAUUGAUGGUGUGUCCUCUUCUGAGAAGUUUCUGUCCAAGUCCUUGGGCCAUUUGUUGAUUGGGUUAUCUGCUUUUUUGUUGUUUAACUUUUUGAGUUCUUUGUACACUCUAGAGAUUAGAGCUCUAUCUGAUGUUUGAGGGGUAAAAAUUGGUUCCCAGGAUGUAGGCUCCCUAUUCACCUCGCAUAUUAUUUCUCUUGCUGAGAAAAAACUUUUUCAGUUUGAAUUCGUCCCAUUUGUUGAUUCUUGGUUUUAACUCUUGUGCUAUAGGAGUCUUAUUAAGGAAUUUGGGGCCUGCCCCCACGAGAUGAAGAUGAGGACCAACUUUAUCUUCUAUUAGACGCAGAGUCUCUGGUCUGAUUCCUCAGUCUGCCGUCUUGAAAGCCUGACCGUGCAGAACCCCUGAAGCUCUCCUGGGAGGAACCAUCACCACCUUCAGAAAGGCCACCUUGACUUGGAGAAGAUGACCAAGGCUCAUCAGUGGAUGUGUCCUGUCUUGUGGAAACCCUCACAGUACUUCUCUGGGAGCUCGAGGACGGCCUGGUGCCUGCCCUGCAGCAGGGGAACACCCCCUAUGUCCAUGGGGUUUUGUAUUUGUACCAAGAUUUGGCCAGUACCCAGAAGGCUCUGGAGCUGCUGGGUAAAAGGUAUGGACGCCUCCAGCCAUAUGUUGAGGAGGAGUACCUUCAAGACAAGAAAUCAUGACUCACCAGAGUAAUUAACUGGUCUAACAAUAUUGAAGUUAGACCAGUUAAUUACUCUGUAAUGGACUGAACAGUUGGAAUAAAAGGAAGAGUUCCAAGUUUUGCAUUCCAAAUAGAAAGCUGUGCCUUGGGCUGGGCUGUAGCUCAGUGGCAGAGUGCUUGCCUAGAAUGUAUGAGGCACUGAGUUCAAUCCUUAGCACUACAAAAAAAAAAAAAAAAAAACAACUAAACAAAGAAAGGCAUGCUGUUGAUCUAAAACUAUUAAAAGAAGAAAGAAAGAAAGAAAAGAAAAAAAAAAGCUGUGCCUCUUGAAUAAUUAGUCCCAAUGAGAAUGCAAGGGAAAUGUUCAUAAAGAAAAUUAAAGUGCUGCUCCAGGGCAUAGGUGAAUGAUAAGAAAGCAAAACAGCUGAUAGGGAUAAAGUUUUCAUAGUCUGGAGAACAGGUGAAACAAGCCACGUUCCCUUAAGCCAAAACCGCAUCCAGAUAAGGCCAAAACAUUAGAUUUUUCUGAUGCCAAGAGAAGGGAGAAAGCUCCAGAAGAAGUCUGAAGGUGGCAGAAUUUGGUUCAUGAUGUUCGAAGCAAGCGGCCCAUCUCCAUAUAAGACAAGUGCAGGGUGAAGCAGCAAUUGCUGAUGUAGAAGCUACAGCAAGUCAUGAAGAAGAUCUUGCUAAGCUAUCUGAUGAAGACGCGAUAUGGUUGAGUUUCUCGGUGUCCCCCAAAAGCUCAUGGGUGAGACAAUGCAAGAAGGUUUAGAGGGGAAAUGAUCCUGUUAUGAGAGCCUAAAGCCAAUUAGUGAAUUAAUCCCCUGGCAGGAUGAACAGGUGGCACAGAUAAAAUGGGGUGCCCACACCCUCCCCAAGCCUGGAGGUGUAGGCGCCACCUGUGGAGGAGUCCAGUUGCAGUGUGGAAGUGAAGAGCAGCCACCCUCAACGUUCCACAUUAGGGUUCCACAUUGGAGGUUCCCAGCAACCAGCGGCAUCCCUCUGCGGGCAGGUCGUUCAUCAGGGAGCCUAGGCGCCCUAAGGCCCUUUGGGGAGUCCAGUUGAAUCGGUGGCUGCAUGGAAAUAGGCGUCCAAAUAGGAGCAUCCUCAUCCAUUGGCGGUGGCGGGAGUCUGCUUCCAGUGCAGUGGAGGUGUUGGCAGCAUUUCUGGUGGCCAGGUCGGGACUCCAGUGGCCACAGUGUGGAGCGCUGGCUGUGGCGACAGCGACAGCGUAGGGCAGCGGGCCUCAGAGUCAGAGGGCGACCAGAGGAUGGGGUGCCCUGUGCUGUGGCUGCCCCAGGCCACUUGUCUUGCUCCUGGCAGGGCCUGCCUGCUCAGGAAGCAGGACACGGCAGGCGGCGGUACCCACACAGCCUCUGAGGACCUUAUGCUGAGCACGCAGGCGGCGCCUGGCACCGGCACUGAGCCCCCCGGGUGGCAGCUCGCCCCACCCCGGGUUCGCCCUGCCCCUCCCUGGGUUGCGGCCUCUGCGGGGGAAGUAGGCCCGCUGCCAGCCGGGGCAGCCUUUAAAGAGGACACCCACCCUCCCCAGCGACAUCUCUCCUGGGCUGUGGCCACUGAGAGCAGAGGCAGUGGGGGGUGGGGCUACAAAUCCUCCCCCUCAAAACGCAUCCCUGGGGCGGGACAAGGGUGGAGGGCAUAGAUGGCAGAGGGAACCCCAAGACGUGCUGUCCUUGGUCUUGGUCUUCUGCCACCCUUAGACACAGAAAUGUACUUUAAAAAAAUUAAUUAGCUGUAAUUAGUUGUACAUAACAGCAGAAUUCACUUUGGUUCAUUGUACAGAAAUGGAGCACAGCUUUUCAUUUCUCUGGUAGAACACGAUGUAGAGUUGCACCAUAUGUGCAGUCCUGCAUGUACCUAGGGUAAUGAUAUCCCUCUCAUUCCACCCUCUUUCCUACCCCAUGCCUGUCCCUCCUAUCCUUCCCCUUUGCCCCAAGUUCCUCCAUUCUUCCCUUGCCCCCCUCAUUAUGGAUCAGCAUCCACUUAUCAGGGAGAACAUUCAGCCUGUUGUUUUUGAGGAUUAGCUUUUUUCAUUUACAUAACUGCCGCCAGACUGCGGCAGUUGCUUGUAUUCUUGUUAACUGCCAUUCUGGCUGGAGUAAGAUUGUCUUAGAGUAGUUUUGAUUUGCAUUUCUCUAAUUUCUGGUGAAGUUGAACAUAUUUUCAUAUAUUUGUUGAUCGACUGUGUAUCUUCUUCUGUGAAGUGUCUGCCCAUUUCCUUAGCCCAUUUAUUGAUUGGGGUAUUUAUUCUUUGGAUGUUGAUGUUUUUGAGUUUUUUAUAUAUCCUGGAAAUUAGUGUUUUAUCUAAUGUGCGUGUAGUAAAGAUGUUCUCCCACUCUGUGAGCUCUCUCUUCAUAUUAUUGUUUCCUUUGCUGAGAAGAAGCUUUUAAGUUUGAAUCCAUCCCAUUAUUAAUUCUUGAUUUUAUUUCUUAAGUACAGGGUCUCUGGUCUAAUUCCUAGGUCCUUGAUCUACUUUGAGUGUUUGUGCAAGGUGAGAGAUCGUGGUUUAAUUUCAGUCUGCUACAUAUGGAUUUACAGUUUCCCCAGCACCAUUGUUGAAGAGGCUAUCCUUUAGCUAAUGUAUGUUUUCGGCACCUUUGUCAAGAAUGAGAUAACUACAUUUAUGUGGGUUUUUCUCUGUAUCUUCUAUUUUGUACCAUUGGUCUACAUGUGUAUUUUGGUGCCAAUAGCAUGCCGUUUUUGUUACUACAGAUCUGUAGUAGUUUAAGGUUUGAUAUUGUGAUGUCUCCUACUUCACUCUUUUUGCUAAGGAUUGCUUUGUCAAUAAGGAUUUCUCUGUGUCUAUUUUUCCAAAUGAAUUUCAUGAUUACUUUUUCUAUUUCUAUGAGGAAUGUUAUUGGGAUUUUAAUUGGAAUCACAUUAAAUCUGUAUAAGGUUUAUGAUAGUGUGGCCAUUUUGACAAUAUUAAUUCCAUGAGGGAGGAAUUGGAAUCAGGUACCUGCUCAAAAGGGGAGGGAUCCGAUAGCCACGCCCACCUCAAAAUGGCAAGGAAUGCUUUCCAAGAUGUAGUGGGUGUGCUUCCAGAGCCGGGUGUCUGGUGAUGUCAGGGGAACUGAUGGCCUUGUGCUGUGGGGAGGUAGCAGCUGAGUGACCUGCAUGGGAGUGGAGUGAGUCUCGGCCUUCUGCAGAUGUGUUGGUAGGUGGUUCUGCUAAGGCGCUGGCCAAGUCUUAAGUGAACUGCAACUUUGGCUUUGGGUCCUGCUCGGACACUGAGGCCCUGAGUCCUGCGCGAGGUCACAGCGCUGGUCAUUUCUGUAGAGAGAAGCUGUAAAGGGGCCUCUAACACUCUCAAGAGAUGCAGAAUUCCUACUAGGAGAGAUCUGGAUCACAGAGCAACACAGAUGCUGCUUCCCUCUGGUCCGCCAUCUUUGAAAGUCUUUUCAAUUUCUUUCUUUAGUUUUCAUUGUAUAGGUCUUUCAUCUCUUUUGUUAAAUUUAUACCCAAAUAUUUCAUUUUUGAGGCUAUUGUGAAUGGGAUAGUUUUCCUAAUUUCUCUUUCAGAGGGUUCAUCACUAAUAGAUAGAAAUGCAUUUGAUUUAUGAAUAUUGAUUUCAUAUCUUGUGACAUUGCUGAAUUUGUUAAUAUUAGAAGUUUUCUGGUGGAGUAUUUUUUGGAUCCUCUAUGUGUAGAAUCAUGUCAUCAGCAAAUAGGGAUAGUUUGAGUUCUUCUUCCCCUAUUCCUAUCCCUUUAAUUUCUUUCAUCUACAGCUCUGUCGUGUAGUCUAAGCUGUAGUGGAGUUUAAACAGCAGUAUAGUUUAAACUCUGGCUAGAGUAUCAGGGACUAUGUAGAGUAGAAGGUGAGAGAGGGCAUCCUUGUCCUGUUCCAGUUCUGAGAGGAAAUGCUUCCAAUCAGAAAUGCACUUUGAGGAUGAAGAGGUCCUAGUUCCUCUGCUCUCUCCCCCCACAGCCCAGGUGGGAUGUCUCUGAGGAAGGUGGGGGUCCUCUCCCAAGGCUGCCCCACCUGGCAGAUGGCCUAGUUCCCCUGCAGAGGCCACAUCGGGGAUGGGGCGAGCAGCCACCCGGUGGGCUCAUGGCCAGUGCCAGGCGAGGCAGGUGUGGGCAGCCUAAGGUCCUCAGCAGCUGCCUGGGUAUUGCCACCCCCCUCGUGCUGCUUCCUGAACAGGCCGAUCAGCCAGGACCAAGACCCAGGGCCUGGAACAGCCACUGCAGAGGCCAUUCCAGCCUCUCGUCGCCCUUCCACUCUGAGGCUCACUGCCCUGCGCCCUCGCUGCCGCCACCAGCCUGGAGCUCUUCACUGUAGCCACCGGACUCCCCACAUGGUCGCCAGAUGCCACUGCAGCAGGAUUCCUGUUACCCCAGCAGGAUGAAGAUGCUCACCACUGGACGCCUCUGUGUCCUCAGCCCCGUUUCCAGACUCUACUGGUGCUGCCGCCACCGUGCAGCAACCAAACUCCCAAACCCCAGCUGGACUAUGAUGCUGCCCACCAAGGGCCCAACGUCAAUGCCCUUCACCCCCCGCCAUGAUGCCUGACUCCAGUGCCCCAUGCCGGCUCCCAGAUGAAGCUGCAUGUUGCUGCUGCCACCACCAGACUCCAUCAUGGACGCAAGACAGCGAUACUCAGCACUGGAUGCCCACUUCACCCACUGCAGUCAGACUCCUGUGGCACUGCAGGACAGAAAUGAUCAUGGCAACAUCCCUCUGUUGUCACCACAGCAGCUUCUGGACUCUUCUGCUGCCACCACCGCUGUGAGUAUGCAGCAAGGGAUCUCCCAAACUGCAGCUGGAUGCCAACACCUCAGCUGUUGCCACCCCCAUGCCAACUCUCAACUCCGGACCUCCCUCGCCUGAUGCCCUACGCCUGAAGCAGCUACAUGUUGCUGCUGCUGCCACCAGAUGCUACCACUCCAUGAGGCCUCUUCAGUGAUUCCAUCCCAAAGAUGCUGCUGUGCUGCCCAAGACCACAGAAGCUGGGAAGUUGGGCAGUCUCCAUCGCAGUCGCCUCAUCAGUGCCCACCGCUUGCCGCCUGCCUUUCCUCCCCCAGGACCACCCACCAGUCCUUCUGGGCCCUUGAGCAGGAGUUGUGCUGACUCAGGGAACUCAUCCAAGGAAAAUAAGUUCACGGAGACUCUGCAACAUAAUCAGCGCUUGAGCAUCAUGGAAAGCAACUACUCAGCCAUAGAUUCACUCCCCUGGGUCCCAAUCAUCAAGGUCUUCAACUCCACUUCUGCCCACCCAUCCACAGGUUCCUUCAAUUUUUGGAGAAAAAAUAAAUGGAUUCCUUACUGUCUAAGCCAUGCCUAAUCAUAACAGCAGACACUUAUUGAGCACCUAUGGUGCGCUUUACAUGUAUUUUAUGCAAUCCUGGUGACAUUCUGAAAUGUGAGUGUGUGGGUCCUGCCUCCAUUUUACAGAUGAAGAAAUUGUGGCUCAGUGAGAGUAAGCAUCUGCCCCAGGUAACACAGCAAGAAUCAACUCUAGUCUACAGGAAAGUCCACAGUCUCCAUCUUUGUACCAGGCUUCCUUCCAAUAGCAAGGAAGAUAAAGACAUUCCAAAGGACAUCCAUGGCACCAGCCAAUCAAGCAGAAAUUGGUUUGGGGCCAUGAGCACAAACAGUGCAAAUAACUGAGUUGCCGUAUUCGAGGAGGUUGGGUUGAGUUGGGGAUGCAGGAUUCUUGGGCCAGGUUAGGGGUACAUGAGCACACCCACACAAGUACACACACACACACACAUGCAGUCUGUAUGCUCCUGUGAAGCAGAUCACCUUCUAGGAAAGCAAAGACUUUAUCCUGACCCAUUACCUUGCCACCACCUUGAGCCACAAUGGUGCCUCGGUCCUUUGGGUUGUCACACAGCGCCAGGAACACCCUGCAGGGCCAAGGAUAAAGGAGAGCAUUUGAACUGCCAGCAGCCUCUCCCAUCGCAGACCAGCAGCCAGAGCCCAGGAAGCCCCAGGGUGAACAGGGAAAGCCCAGAGAGUGCACCCCGUGUGCUCCUGCCCCACAAUGCACGAUGAGCCACCUUGGGAAGACGCUGUGAUGAUGUUAAGUGGCACGGAAGAAAGUGAGGCCAAGCAAGGCUGCAAAGAGCCACCCCACUCCUGCUUAUGGGCACUGCCAGGGGCUCCUUGGUGCCCCUCGCCACCCAAGAGAAACUCCACCUCCUUGGUCUCCUAAUUCCCUGUGAGCAAAAUUCCCUCCUGGGCCUCCAUGCUCUAGAGAAAUCUCCUCUGUCCUUGGUGUCUCUGCAGAUGCUGUUUCCAGGCCUGAAGCCUUUCCCUCCCCCGCAUUACGGUGGCUCCUUUUCUUCCAUCAGGGCUCAGCUGUCACCUCCACCAGGCCUUCCUGGCUGCCGAGCCCUGGCCCUCCAGUCUGGCUGCUUGGGUGCCAUUGUUCAUGUCCCUACCAGCUGUGCCUCCCCACAGGGCACCUGUUGCACUGGACCUGAUCAUGCCCAGUAGGCUGCACUUUGUGCCUUUGAUCUCUGGGAACAAGGCAACCAGAAUGAACACCUUCUGACACAAGCUUCCCCCUGUCACAUCUGCCCCAUCAUGUCAUUUUCAUUGUUGGUCCCCUUCAGUCUCUAGGACACCCAGUGGCUCACUCAGUCCCUCAUGUAGGCCCCCACCAUUUCCAUCUCCCUGUCCAGCCUCCUGCCCUCCAGUCCCCUCGGGCCCAGCCCCUGGCCCCCUGCAGUGGCACCUGGCCAGUAGCUCCUUGGUCUGGUCAGUGAGGAUGGCACUGUCUGCUCUCACCAUGCAGGAGAGAGCGGAGAUGACACCUGCCUUCAGGAGCCUCUUCACCCGCAUGUCCACAAAGUCCUUCUUGUCCUGGGGGAUGGGAGAGUUGGCAAUGGAGAAGGGGCCUGGGCACCAGGCAGAUCUGUACUGGAACUUCAGAUGCCACGCUUUCCUGUUUAUUCUCCAAGGUGAACUGGGAUCAUUCUGUCUGGAUACACUCUUCUUGCUGGGAUCGUGACUGGAAUUGUGUUUGACCAGGACAUUCAUGUGGGAAAAACUGGUAUUCCGUGAGAGUCACUUUUCCCAUCCAGAACCAUGGUGGACCUCUCCAUUUACUGGGUGCCUGUCCAGCUGAGCCUAUCACGUGUCUGUCUGCUGAGAUGCAUGGUGCCGAGUCAGAAGUGAUGGGAGAAAAAUAAGGACAACAUUGUGACUUAAAAAAGAGCCAUUCUCUAUCUUUCUAUCCCUUCCUCUUUCCUCUUUUGGGGUUGGAAUGGCCUCUUUUUUUUUGGUACUAAAUCCCCUAUUGCCCAAAAAACCAAAAUCACUGAUAGAUUUUUGUGUGUGUGUGUGUGUGUGUGUGUAGUGAUUGUUUAUUUUUAAAUAUAUAAGUUGACUGUUUUGAAAAACUUACUGAUCUGUGAAAUCUCAAAAUCUGGAUUAUUUUUUUCCUUUCACAGUGCAGGGGGUUGAACCCAGGACCACACACAUGCUAGGUAGGGGCUCUACCACUGAGCUGCUCUCCAGCCCCAGGAUUAGAGUUUUCAAUAGGUUUGACUUUUAUUAUACAGACUACCUCUGUCUUGUUUGGGAUUUUGCAUUGGAGGUGCUAGAAGGAAUGGGUCUUUGUUCUUGUUUUUCUGUUUUAUAUAGAGUUCUCUGUUAACAUAAAGCCUGAAGUGUCAUGUAGCAACCAUCUACUGAAUACCUUUGAACAAAGCCUUAUCCUCUACUGGAAGCCCACAGUCUAACCAGGGAGUUAGGAAGACAGUUGCUGAUCAUAGCACUGUAAGGAGGAACUGUCAAGGGAGCACAGCUCGAGUUAAUUUAGGAAAACAAGGCAGUUUGCUGAAUGACUGCUGCAAACCCCAAAAGACUUGGGACUUUAGUAAUGUUUUUUUUUUUUUUUUUUCAUCUCCUUGUAGAACUCUAUGGGCAGUACUGGUGCAGUUUCUGAUAGAUUGCCUAAUUCCAUUCUGCUUUCAUCCACAAAUGACCGAGUUGGGAAGUGAGCAUCCCGUCCCAUCAAUUUUUCAUUUUACUUUGACCCAGGUUCAUAACAUUUAGAAUUGUUUUGAAAGAAAGCUGUUCCCUAUUUUUGUGGUCUGGGGCUAAGGUAUGCUUUCAUAUGUUUUACAUGUAGGAGAUUAGGCUGCAUCUACAUGUGAGACAAAAGAAUGGAGGACAGAAAGAAUUUAGUAAGCCAAUUUCUUUGUGGUAUACUGCUUUCUGCCUGUGCGCUUCUCUACUUGGCCUUUUGGGGAGAGUUUCUGCAUAGUCUCAGAUUACCUCCUGCAUGUUAAUAGACUCCCAAACUACCUGCAACUGCUCAUUGGAUAUAUCUCCUCCUGGACAUUUUCAAGAUCCAACUCCUAAUUCUGCUGGAUUCCCUUCAGGAACACUGUCCAUACUUUGGGGCACUGUGAUUGUCAUUUAUGUGGCUGUUUUCACAAUUGAAUCUUAAGAUCUUAGAAGGCAGAGGCCAAGAUUUCUUGUUCUAUUGUAUCUGCAAUUCUCACUACAGGGCUGGGCCAAAUUAUAGCCAAUCAAAAGUUUCUUUGAACAAAAGAAUACAAUCAUCAGAGGUUACAUCUGUUGACAUUUUCUUCCUGUAAGAAGAAAAUGUCAAAGGACGUAAUUUGGCAAUUUUGUUUUUUUAGUACUAGGGACUGGACCCAGGGGUGCUCUGUUACUGAGUUAUACUCCCAGUUCUUUUUACUUUUUGAGACAGGGUCUCACUGAAUUGCUAAAGUUGGCCCUUAUGAUCCUCCUGCUUCAAGCUCCUGAGUCUCUGGAAUUAUAGGUGUGUGGCGCUGAAGGUGGAUUUUUUUUUUUUUAAACUAUGGAUCUCAUUAAGUUGCCCAGGCUGGUCUCAAAUUUACAGUCCUCCUCCUUCAGCCUCCCAAAUCACUGAAAUAACAAGCAGGUGCCACUGCAUCUGCUUUGACAAUGCUUUCUGAACUUCUGGGGGAGGGGGGGGGGCUGUUCAGUUAUCAGUGGCCACUUUGCUGGGAGUGUUCUGAACCCUAUAACCCAGAGGCUUGAUCCUCUUUAUCCUGAUCUGCUUGGUUCCUAGAAUAAAUAUGUGGUAGAAAACCUACAGAAAUUUUACAGUAUCUUUUUAAAUUUUUUUGGAUAUAUACAGAAUGGUAAGAAAACAAAAAUUUGGCCCUAUUUAGGAAAAAUGUAUGAAGCUGCUUUGGGAACUUUAAAUAAUGCAUAUUCAUAUUUAAUAUGUAUACAUAUAUAUACAGUAUAAAGGGACUUUAUAGUUUCAUGUGACAUUAAGUUUUCACUUAUGGAUUAGUGAGCACUUCUAAAAGAACAAAAUCUGAGAGAUUCAAACCAACAAUGACUACAUUGCUAGAGCGUGGUCCUAAUAGAGAAAUAUAAUCGACAUUGCAAUUUUUUUUUUUUUUUGGUACUGGGCACUGAACCCACGUGUGCUUAACCACUAAGCCACAUCCCCAGCGCUUUUUUACAUAUUUUAUUUUGAGACAAGUUCUCACUAAGUUAUUAGGGCUGGCUUCAAACUCACUGUCUUCCUGCCUCAGCCUCCCAAGCUACUGGGCCAGCCCCUUUUUUAUGUUUUGGGACAGGACUCGUUAAGUUGUCCAGACUGGCCUUGAAUUUUUGGUUCUCUUACCUCAGCUUCUCAAGCUGCUGGGAUUAUAGGCGUGUGCCACCAUGCACAGCUAAAUGGGUCUUCAGUGGAACUCACUUCAGUGAGACACUCCUUGCUUGCGAAGAGAAUCUGGAUGAGAUUGUUGGAGGCUAUUCUGACAUAUAUGGUGAGCAGGCCAAGCCAUUUCACUGAAGGAAACUGAGGGAGACCUAGGGAUGAGGGUAAAUGCUACAAGAUGUUCGUCACCACUAGGGGCUUUCCUUAGUGAUGGUAGGGAGGGGCAGGAUGAGGAACACUGGGAUGCUAUCACUUGGUGAUGUGUCAAAAUUCUUGCUUUCAGCACCUUCUGCCCCUCCCCAACUCCCCAACUGUUCAGGCCUCGGGCAUUUCAGAAUUGCCAAAUGGGCCUGGCCCACAUCUUUAAGGAGCAGCUUGUCCAGGAAUGAAGAGGUGUGAUCUAGAGGGUCAUCAAAAACCAAAACAACCCUAGUGUUAACUAAGAUGCUUUAGUAGGACAUGGGGAAAAAGAUAGCUAUUUGCAGUAUCUGAGUUUCCAGUUCUCAUUCCAGUGAUCCUUAAGCCUGGGUGCCCAGCAACCUUGCUUGAGAAGCUUCAGACACAUUCGUGCACAUACUUUUCACAUCCUCUCAGGACCAGCAGUGGCAGGGGGAAGGGGAGUGUGGGAUGGACCAGCACACUCUCAGGCUCUCCCAGCCUUCCCAUAGAAGACCAUCACUGGCCUCUGAUCUUUUUCAAUCCUUUGAUUGAUGACAUACUGCUACCCUUCUGAGGACAGCUCUGACCUGUCCAUAGGGUUCAGGGUGGAUUUUUUUUUUCUGCUAGGAGUGGGUAAAUGAAAUAGGUAAAACUCAGGAUCGGUGGCUUAUACUGUUUACACAGGUAGUGUCUGUGGGGGAAAGUUGAGAUGUCCGAGAGAAUUGUGGGGACCUAAUAUAUGACCUCUGAUUGGUCAGAGGGUCCUGGCAUUUCAUUUAAAGAUAAAUCAGCCUAUCCCAGAGUCAUCUUUGAGUUUGGCAGGCCCUAAAAAAGCAUUUCACCAAAGUUAUUUUACUUUUGAGAGGUUCUGGAAAUACAAACAUCUUUCCCAUGGGGGUGAGGAGAAGACCCAAAAAACACCCUUAAUAGAAAGGACGAGGUUUAAUGUUUCAAAAGAUCAGGGAGAAAUGGGAGGAAGUGAUAACACAGAAUUUACACCAAAUAAAACAGAGCUUGAUGCAUGUGAAGAAAUUAAAUAACUCCUCACAUCUUAGAGCAGAUUGAAUUUACAUUUUACUUAAAAAAAAGGAAGGGGGAGUACAUACACAAGGAAGAAAUGGGGUGGGGAACAAUAAUGCUCUGAAUCUGAUUUCUACAAGUUUCCCCUACAGUGAUUGAUUUUGUCUGUUGGGCAGUAUUUCUCCUGCUGGCAUACAACUGCUUACAAUAUUAACAAGGGUGUGGACUAGGGAACUGCCAAAGUUUAGGCCUGAUAGAAAGGAGACUAAGUUAUCAUAUACAAUGUAAGUUUACAAUACAUAGCAUUUUCUUUAAAUGAUGUAACGCAGUCGCAGGAAGAAUUUAACAAUACUAACACGAGAAUAAUCAAAUUUUUGUUUGUUAUCCAUAUACAGCAACUAACUGCUUUACAAAAAAGCAAAAUAAUACAAUAUAUCAUCACAUGUAUUUACAGGGUAGUAAAUAUACUUUUCUGUCAAAUUUUACACAAACUAUUUACAGGUGAAUAUACUGCAUUAAAAAAAACUGUGUGGCUGACACUAAGUGAGUUUUUGUAUAAGUUUGUUGCAUAACAUUGAAUAAGACAUGCAUUAUUAUGCCUGGGGGUGGGGGUAAAUGUAGAAACAAAAAACAGAAAACAAAACAAAAAAAUCCCCAAAACCCCAAAUGGAAAUUGAAAACCCCUAAAAUCUACAAACCCAAAAGGACUGCUGGCUCACACUCUGUCCUCACCACUGGGACAUUCGUCCGCCUAAUGUGGUGUCCUGGUGCCCAGCUCAGUAACGAACAGGUGUGAGUAACUGACGCAUAGAGUAUUGUACCUCCAUGUUAGCAUAUGAGGGCAGCUCCUGGGACAGGAGCACUGGCAUAAUAGUAGGUUAUAUGCAAUAAAACAUGGCUGAGUUAAUGCUUUUGUUUUUAAAAAGUCAGGGAAACAUCCACAAACUCAAACAAAUUCCAGAAUUUAUAAAUUAUGCAAAAUGGGCUACUUGCUCUGAAUGUCAGAAUUUCUUUUGCAGAUUAUAGGUAUGAAGACUAAAAAGUGUUUCAUUUCUCAGGGGAAGUAUAUUGGUGAGAGAUUUAUCUCAUGCUCAUUUUACCUGGAAAACUAGAUUUUCCACAAAUGUCACAAGUUCUUUAAAUAAGUUAAGUUUUUUAAACCUUAGGAAGUUUUCAAAUUCCUAGGACGUACUGGUCAAAAGUAUAUUUUUGUAGUUCAAAGAAGGCUCAAUUUUUUGAUUUGUGCAACGCUGAUCAUUUCAUGAAAUACUUCAAAUGGAUUCAUUGCAUUCACUACAUUACAGGGAAAUAAUAAAUUUAAGGAAUACCAUACUUUCAUAAAUUUGUUUAUGGAAAGUAAUCCUUUGAAAGUUUCUCUAACUUGAUGGGAGAAGCAAAAUAAGGUAAUACACACUGUCAUAUGCACCAGAUCAAGAAAGAGGGGAAAAAUACUAAACUAAAAUUAUCCAAGGCUUACAUUGCCUGCUGUUCUAAAAGCCAAGAAUCUGUGAUACCAUAUCCCAGAAGCGCUGGGUGGUGGGAGAACCAAGACCAUCAUGGCAGCUUGGCCUCCUUGGCACUGGGUCACUGGUCUAAUCCUAAACUCAGUUUAAUCUCAGCUUCUUUACAGUCUUAAGAUGGUCUGUUAUUAUAAUAAACAUUUUAUUCUAAUGCAGCCUCUAUAAUAGUUAAAAACAAAAGCUUAGUUAAUUACACCUGUCUUCAAUAUUUUCCAACAAUUCUGCUAAAAUUACUAUUAAUACUAAAGUUUUUUCCUUUUAUUUUGGCAAAUGGUUCUUACUUUUCCCAGGACUGUAAACAAAAUAAAAAAAUUAAAUUCUUGUUA